CCACCCCAAUUCCACAGAUGUGACAGUUAAAGGGUUAAAUUUUUAGGAAAAUCAUCUCCAAUACAAACCCUUUCAAACAGCUUAUGUACAGGGCAGUUUUUAUAUGCAUACCCGGCUACACACUUUAUUUUAUAACUCGUAUAUUUCGAAAUGCGAAAGCAAGUUUAACUUUCGCAUUUCUAAAAUAGGCUGAUUGCAGUUGAUUAAAUUCGAUCGAUAUUAAGUAGAAAACUCUAAAAAGUAGAUCAUGUUAUGUAACCGUUUGUUACAAAGUCCUCUGAUUAUUUUUAGUAUAUGUUUAAAUGUUAUUUGUACUGUCACGUUUCUAAAUGUUAAUACAAGGGUUUAUUGUUAGUAGGGUUAGUCAAAUAAAAAUGUUUAAAAAUUGUUAGAUUAUAUGUUAAUUGUAAAACUAGGAUUAGUAGGGUUAAAUAAAUAAAAACACACAAUUGUUAAAACACUAAAACAACACAGUGGGUACAAAUGAACACCGAAGCGUAUAACAGAAAAUGUAAGGUGGCGGAAAGCUGUUCUACGGCUGAUGAAGUACGAUUGCGCGGCACACUAAUUGUUCGCGCCUGGAAGGAGGUAAAAACAACCGCCAAAUUUCAGUGAAUAGGAAGGAGAAGAGCAAUCGAACCCAGAGCAAAGGUUCAGAAUUAAUCUGGCGUUCGUGUGCUGAGGUUCAGUAGAGCAGUGAAUAGUUUGAAGAUUGUGGUAUUUUAUAGAAAUUGUGAGGUGUGAUAAUAAUUCGUUCAGGACCUUUUGGUAUAUUUAUUGAUCGCCUUGGACUGAAGGAAAAUCUUCCCAAGGUAGCACACGAUUCGGCCUAGUGAGCCCUGGAUGCUCACUACGUCUAACCCGUCAAAGACCAGCGAUUGUUCUCUGGCCUUGGGCCAUAACUGCAAAGGAGAACAUACCCCUCUCGGCACGGUCACUCCGGUAUCGUCCUGGGCCUGUCGAUCUCCGUCAAAGAGGGAAGACGCCAGUACUAGCCGUAACUUCAACCUAGAACCCACCAAUUUCGACCAACCGGAAUUCUACGCCAGCCAUAGUUCCCGUACAACCGCACCGUCUGUAGCAGCCACGCGAGCGCUCGCCGGACCAUCCCAAUUCACCUAACAACAGCAUUGGUACGUACCAGGAAAACCCCACAGCACUCACAUACACUCACACUUACAGAUUGAAAAAAAUAAAUAAAAUAAAGUGAAUCCAAUAAA